GAGUUUGAUCCUGGCUCAGGACGAACGCUGGCGGCGGGCCUUACACAUGCAAGUCGAAGGAUAAGCGGGGAGUUUACUCCCUGUGGAGACUGGCGGAUGGGUGAGUAACGCGUAGGCAACCUGCCUUUAACCCGGGAAUAACGUGCCGAAAGGUGCGCUAAUGCCCGAUGAUUCGCGCGCUCUGCAUGGAGCGUGUGUUAAAGCCCUUCGGGGUGGUUGGAGAUGGGCCUGCGUGCCAUUAGCUAGUUGGUGGGGUAACGGCCUACCAAGGCGAUGAUAGCUAGGGGGUCUGAGAGGAUGAUCCCCCACACUGGGACUGAGACACGGCCCAGACUCCUACGGGAGGCAGCAGUGAGGAAUCUUGCGCAAUGGGCGAAAGCCUGACGCAGCCACGCCGCGUGCCGGAAGACGGCCCUAUGGGUUGUAAACGGCUUUUGACGGGGAAGAACGACCGGGUUUUGAUCUGGUGUGACGGUACCCGUUGAAUCAGCACCGGCUAACUCCGUGCCAGCAGCCGCGGUAAUACGGAGGGUGCAAGCGUUGUCCGGAAUCAUUGGGUGUAAAGGGUGCGUAGGCGGGAGCCUAAGUCUGAGGUGAAAUCUUACCGCUUAACGGUGAAAUGGCCUUGGAUACUGGGUUUCUUGAGUGUAGAAGAGGUAGGCGGAAUUCAUAGUGUAGCGGUGAAAUGCAUAGAUAUUAUGAAAAACACCAGUUGCCGAAGGCGGCCUAACUGGGCUACCUACUGACCCUGAAGCACGAAAGCGUGGGGGAGCCAACACGAAUUAAAAUACCCUGGUAUUCCACGCCCUAAACGAAUGCCUUACUAGGCCUUGCCCCCUUUGGGCCGGUGCUGCAGUUAACGCAUUAAGUAUGCCACCUGGGGAGUACGUCGGCAACGAUGAAACUCAAAGGAAUUGACGGGGGCCCGCACAAGCGGUGGAGCAUGUGGCUUAAUUCGAUGCAACGCGAGGAACCUUACCUGGGCUAAAUUCUCGGUGCAACCUCUGGAAACAGGGGGUCCCUUCGGGGCGCCGAGGAAGGUGCUGCAUGGCUGUCGUCAGCUCGUGCCGUGAGGUGUUGCCUUAAGUGGCGCAACGAGCGCAACCCCUGUGGUCAGUUACCAGCACGUUAUGGUGGGGACUCUGGCCAGACUGCCUACGCAAGUAGUGAGGAAGGUGGGGACGACGUCAAGUCAUCAUGGCCCUUACGUCCAGGGCUGCACACGUGCUACAAUGGAUGAUACAGAAGGCUGCCACCCGGCGACGGAGCGCAAAUCCUUAAAGUCAUUCUCAGUUCGGAUUGGAGUCUGCAACUCGACUCCAUGAAGUUGGAAUCGCUAGUAAUCGCGUAUCAGCAAUGGCGCGGUGAAUACGUUCCCGGGCCUUGUACACACCGCCCGUCAAGCGAUGGAAGUCGGGAGUACCUAAUGUCGGUGGGCCAAUCCGCUUCGGUGGAGGGCAGCUGCCUAGGGUAAGCCUGGCAACUGGCGCUAAGUCGUAACAAGGUAAC
rnacentral:rRNA from 1 species